GUUCGGGUUGUCACGCCAGUGGCAUUGCCCGGUAGCUAAGUUCGGAAUCGAUAACCGCUGAAAGCAUCUAAGCGGGAAGCGAGCCUCAAGAUGAGUCAUCCCUAGAGCUAUAAGCUCUCUAAAGGGUUGUUGGAGACUACGACGUAGAUAGGUCAGGUGUGUAAGCGCUGCGAGGCGUUGAGCUAACUGAUACUAAUUGCCCGUGAGGCUUAACCAU
rfam:Enterovibrio nigricans DSM 22720 genome assembly, contig: BP91DRAFT_scaffold00126.126